AAAUAUUUCAUUGAAGUACAAGGUUAGUUAUACCAAUUAAACUACAUAUGGCAGCUCACACGCAUUGUGCAUUACGGACCAACUUUAAUAGAAGCUUAAAAAGCUUAUUCUUUUACGUUAAUCCGAGAAUACUCAUUUCAGCUAUUCUAAAGCUCUCACAACACCAAUGUUCUAUAUUACAUUUAGCUAGGAAACUAGGCCCUAGAAAACAAGUAAGAGGGGUGGCAAAAUUGGUGCCAGCAGUCGCGGUUAUACCAGUACCCCAAACUAAUCACAGCAAAUUAGGGUGAUUUAUUCUUUAGAAGAUCUACAAGAUUAAUUUUUAACGUAAAAAGUAAAUUAAAACUAAACCCAAACUGAUCAUUUCCUAUUACCCUAACAAACCACAACCUCAGAACUCGGAUUAGAUACCCGACUACUGUGUGGCGCAACACAAAGAAGAAUACUACGAGCGAAAGCUUAAACCUCAAACAAUGUGGCGGUGCUUUACUCCUUAUCAGGGGAUCCUGUGGCUUAAUUCGAUAAUCCACGAAAAUCUUAGCUAUUCUUGUACCUCAGCUUGUGUAUGGCCGUUUACGCUUGCUCAAAGAAGAAGAAAAAGGAAGCAAUAGAACUACACAUUCAAAAAUUCAGGUGACAUACAGCCAAUGAAGAGCAGAUCCAUGGGAUACAAAUAGACACACUAACAAAUUUUAAGACUUAAAGCCUUAAUGAAGGAGGACUUGAAAGUAAGACUUCAGUAUUUACAUAAAAUAAGUCUGAACAAGAACUAAAGCGCGCACAAAUCGCCCGUCACUCCGGCAACAAAGCAGGAUAAGUCGUAACAUAGUAGGGGUAAUGGAAAUUGCCCCUAUCACA
rnacentral:ncRNA from 1 species